AUGGAACUUGUAGUGCAGGGAUGCGGGGUACAGCUGCCACAGGAGAAGAAACUGUGUGCUUGGACUUCCCACCUCCUUUUUCUCCCCACUUUCUCCGAGGUACAUGCUUCUCCUGAGAUUCUCUCCCCACAGCCAGUGCUCAUCCAAGGCAGCCAACACUCUUGAGAGCACCCACACUGCAGUAAUGCCAGAGCUUGCCUGUGUGGGGAGCCAUCCCAAGUCCAAGUGGCUGCCAGCUCCAGGUUGCCACGCACUAAUUCAGUCAUUAAUUGAAGCUCUCCAGCCUUUCGGGUAUGCUCCUUUCUCCCCAUGGCUUCAGCCUCAGAAGGAUUGCGGUAGCCUGCCGGGUGGGUGAUUCUUUGCUGCUCACUUUGCCUCCAAGUCACUCACCCAUUAGGCUUUGCUCGUCCUGGCGAAGAAGCGGAAGAAGGCUUAUGAUGUAAUGGGUGGCCAAGGGAAGGAGCUCUCCUCCUGGUCAGCCAUCAAAGAAAGUGCCAUCUCCCCACCUUGGAAGGCCAGGCAUGCGAGCAGCCUGGGGGUGAAGCGAGAGACCGGGAGGAUACUAACUAUGCCACCAACUUUUCCACCAUCUGCAAAUUUCAUUAAUGAUCUGCAAGUCAUUAAUGAAAAGGAUGAAGAGAAUAAUACCCAAGCUGACCCUUCAAUAGUAUUUCCGGAAGAACAGAACGUAUCGUUGACUAACAGACCAGUGAAGAAGCUGGAGAUGAAGACAAGUACGGCAUCUUUCAGAAGCAAGUAAAUUCAAAGCCAGAAAUAAAGCAGAGAAUAACACAAAAACACAUAUUUGAACACAGGUUUUGGUGACUCAGCCCCAAGCAGGAACUUUUUCAAAAGGAGUCAAAGGAAAGUAAUAUUAAGAUCAUUAGUGCAAACAGUUUGAG
rnacentral:lncRNA from 1 species